rnacentral:rRNA from 1 species
UACGAAGGGGGCUAGCGUUGCUCGGAAUCACUGGGCGUAAAGGGUGCGUAGGCGGGUCUUUAAGUCAGGGGUGAAAUCCUGGAGCUCAACUCCAGAACUGCCUUUGAUACUGAAGAUCUUGAGUGCGGGAGAGGUGAGUGGAACUGCGAGUGUAGAGGUGAAAUUCGUAGAUAUUCGCAAGAACACCAGUGGCGAAGGCGGCUCACUGGCCCGAUACUGACGCUGAGGCACGAAAGC